rnacentral:rRNA from 1 species
CUUGGUUUGACAUAUACCGGAAAGCCGUAGAGAUACGGCCCCCCUUGUGGUCGGUAUACAGGUGGUGCAUGGCUGUCGUCAGCUCGUGUCGUGAGAUGUUGGGUUAAGUCCCGCAACGAGCGCAACCCUUGUCUUAUGUUGCCAGCACGUAAUGGUGGGGACUCGUAAGAGACUGCCGGGGUCAACUCGGAGGAAGGUGGGGACGACGUCAAGUCAUCAUGCCCCUUAUGUCCAGGGCUUCACACAUGCUACAAUGGCCAGUACAGAGGGCUGCGAGACCGUGAGGUGGAGCGAAUCCCUUAAAGCUGAUCUCAGUUCGGAUCGGGGUCUGCAACUCGACCCCGUGAAGUCGGAGUCGCUAGUAAUCGCAGAUCAGCGACGCUGCGGUGAAUA